CCUGUGAAGAUAAGAGAAUGCCUAUGCCAGGCCAUAUAGAAGCAGUGAAAGCCUUCUAGAGAUUUUGAAGAAGAGAGCUUUUGUUUCUAGGCUAGAAUAACUCAUCCUUAAAAGACUGAAACCCUAUGUUAUUAUGGCCCAUGACUGCAGUGUGAAAAGACUGUGAGAUUUCAUGGGAGAGAUGUUUUUCCACCUCAGCAGACUGGUUUUUUUCCAGGCAGACUUUUGCUGGUGACAGUUUGGAAACCACAUUAAAGCAGAAGAAACUCUUUUUCCUUAAAUAUUGCAGAGACUUUUAAGAACUGCAAUAAUGACCAAAUCCCAUGCCUUGUUAUCCCUAGUGCGGGAAGAAAAUACAUGAGGACCACAUCAUGCCCAAGAUCCCGAGGAGUAUGCGAGUGGAACAAAGAGGGGAGAAAAUUCAUUGCUGCAUGAACCAAAUCUGGGACACCAAAUUUUUUGAACGGUAUCCCCCAAGCUUGUACAGGUCCAUUGCUUCAGCAUUUUGUUAGGGAACCUUGUGGGCUGCAUUGCUUCUGCCUGAAGCUGAGGGCUCAGUUUAAACUUU